rnacentral:rRNA from 1 species
UACAACUCUGAGCGGUGGAUCACUCGGCUCGUGUGUCGAUGAAGAGCGCAGCCAACCGUGUGAGUUAAUGCGAACUGCAUAUCGCUUCGAACAUCGACAUCUUGAACGCAUAUUGCGGCCACUGGUUCGCCUGUGGCCACGCCUGUCCGAGGGUCGGCU